UACACCUUUGUUUAGCACUUGCUGCACUGUGUAUUCCCUUGCUACUGGACGGAUGGGCUGACGGCCCGAGAGUGGGAACUCUGGUUCUCACACUUGGCGCCCAACGUGUUUAGGCUCAGGUUCAUCAGUUCCGCGGCAAGGAAUACGCAGCACUGUUUCUGGCAGGUAUUUCUGGCGGUUUUUCUCUUUCAGCCCGACGACCGUCGUCCAGGGAUUCAGCAGUCCACCACGCAGGUACGGCCUGAAGAUCUGCGCCUACUGCCUCAGUUACAGGCUUCGCCGCUGUGACACGGACGGAAAAACCGGGCCAGUAUACACAACUCCAAUCUGAAGACUGGUCACGUACUGAGACCCCCCGAGGACUAAGUGUCAGGUCUUCAGUCUCCUCCUCAAGACCAGGAUACCGCCUCCGGACCGGCCUCCAGACGCUACAACUUGCGGCGCAGGCAGCAGCCACUAUUUCGGUCACUAGGACUUAAUGCUCACGGUUUUGAUACCCUGAGACUACCUUCCCGACGGAGACCCAACCCCUCGCCACGUCAGAGUUCGUCAGGACCACCACCGACAAGGUCGUCACCCAGGGCUCCGCGGCACCGGUGACCUGGGCCAUCGACCGGUAGCGACCAGCAGGGCGCCCUCCGCCGCUUUAGGGUGGGUGCAGCACUUUCUACGGGCCCGAAUGUGGUUUCUGCGCUGUCGCCAAGAUCUCCUGCGGUAGGACCCCUCGCUCAGGCCCCUGAAGGCCUGAGCAGAAUGAUUGGAGGACACCACCCGAAGACAUCAUAAUCGACACGCCCGACGUCGACGACUUGUAAAACGCUUUGGUGUGAACUGUAGGGGAGUGGGGAAAUGAACGCUGGUUAUCAAUAAACUUUAUCAAGCGCUAUCAGUGUAAGGGGGAAAUGGCGUGCUCAACCUUGAGGGGCACUGAACGGCUCUGGUAGCUUCGUAAGGUAUGCAAUAAACCUUUGUUUGCA